GGGAACACUCCCAAAAUUCAAGUUCGCAGAUGCAAAUCAAGAGCCAACCAUGCAAGCAGGCCCUUCUAAGGAUGACAGUCUCAAGCCCACUGUGUCAACUCUUUUCUAUUUGUGCACACACAGUGACACUUCCAUGAGCACAAGGGAUGCCCUUCACUCUCUAGCACCUCUAGACCCUUUCUAGUCUAGUCAAUGGAUGAGGGAAUAUGAGUGUGGGCUGGGACAAUGACAUCACAAACCGUCAACCCACAGCCUGGUCCUGGGAGAAGACCUAUUAUUUCUUCAAAGCAGCCAUGGGAAUCAGGGUCCUCUGUUAUGUGGCCUUUUGUUUCCUGGCUGUAGGCCUCGUGGAUGUGAAAGUAACCCAGAGCUCAAGAUAUAUAAUCAAAAGGACGGGAGAGAAAGUUUUUCUGGAAUGUGUCCAGGAUAUGGACCAUGAAAGAAUGUUCUGGUAUCGACAAGACCCAGGUCUGGGGCUACGGCUGAUCUAUUUCUCAUAUGAUGUUAAAAUGAACGAAAAAGGAGAUAUUCCUGAGGGGUACAGUGUCUCUAGAGAGAAGAAGGAGCGCUUCUCCCUGAUUCUGGGGUCUGCCAGCACCAACCAGACAUCUAUGUACCUCUGUGCCAGCAGUUUAUCCACAGCGCAGCACAGCCACAUACUCUCUGCACAAAAAGAGCAGAUGUAAGAGAGAAGAGGCCCUAACUCAGGGCAGGUGCUGACUCCAAUGGCACAUUCGUGCUAAAUAGAA